AUUCCAUGAUGAGGGCAUUUUUGAAACAGUUCUUUAAAUCUCUGCCACGCCUCAUACAAUGACUUAUCACCCAUCUAUUGGAAAGUAGUGAUUUAAUUCCACAGCUU
rfam:Gossypium raimondii Chr01_contig_816, whole genome shotgun sequence.